AUUGAACGCUGGCGGCAGGCCUAACACAUGCAAGUCGAGCGGAGCGGCGGACGGGUGAGUAUUGCUUAGGAAUCUGCCCGGUAGUGGUGGAUAACGUCCGCUAACGGGCGCCAAUACCGCAUACUAUCACAUUAGCCUUGGUCGGAUUAGCUAGUUGGUGGGGUAAAGGCCUACCAUGGCGACGAUCCGUAACCGGUCUGAGAGGAUGAUCAGUCACACUGAAACUGAGACACGGUCCAGACUCCUACGGGAGGAAGCAGUGGGGAAUCUUGGACAAUGGGCGAAAGCCUGAUCCAGCCAUGCCGCGUAUGUGAAGAAGGUCUUCGGAUUGUAAAGCACUUUAGGUUGAGAAGCGUUACCAGCAGAAUAAGCACCGGCUAACUUCGUGCCAGCAGCCGCGGUAAUAC
rnacentral:rRNA from 1 species